rnacentral:lncRNA from 1 species
UUUAAAACCAACAUAAACCUAAAAAAGAAAACCCUAUUAGAUUGGGAAUCUUUGUACGUAGAGUGCAGUUCUUCCUUGGUUCUUCGUUCAAUUUCUUCUUUGUUACUUCGUUUCUUCGUUUAUUCUUCAUACUAUAUUUAUAAAAUUUCAAUUCUAAUUUUUCUAACUUAAUGUCCAUGGUUGCAACAUUUCUGUUAAUGGACUCUUGAGCCCUAUUCAAAGUGCUAUGAUUUAAUAUCAUCAAUUCACUUUGAGCCUGCAUCAAAGGUUAGUGCUGAUAGGCUUGGAAAAUUAUUGAGUCUAGUAAUAUGAUGAUUCUGACAUAUGUGUAGCAAAAGAUGCUUGUGCUGCAUGUAGGCAUGGAGAAAUUUCGUGCUACCCAAUGUGUUCAAAAUAUUAUACUACAAACUCAUUGGUAAUUGCGUAUGCAGAACCUAUAUGGCUAGUUGGGGAUCAAACAGAUUGGGUGGUGCUUGAUGAUGUACGAGAUAGAAUUGUGCUACCACCAAUUACACGAAGAAGGCACGGCAGGCGUAAGGAAAAGAGAAUCCCAUCACGAGGAGAAAAACCAUCAACUCGUAAGUGUUCAAUAUGUGGUUCAAUUGGCCAUUAUCGACAAACUUGCAAGAAUCCAAUUGCACUUCAUCCUACCUCAUAGACGGAGUGGUGUAAUAUUUUUCUCUUUAACUUUAUGAAUUGUAAUGAAUGAAUAUUUAAUUAUAUAUUUUUUUAAUGUAGAUCAUUUUAUUGAAUUUUUUGUUCUACAGACUACCUCUAAAUUUGUG